rnacentral:rRNA from 1 species
UACAGAGAGUGCAAGCGUUAAUCGGAAUUAUUGGGCGUAAAGGGUGUGUAGGCUGUUAAAAAGUUAGAUGUGAAAUCCCUGGGCGUAACCUAGGAAUUGCAUUUAAUACUUUUUAUCUAGAGUAUUGUAGAGGGUAGUGGAAUUUCCUGUGUAGCGGUGAAAUGCGUAGAUAUAGGAAGGAACACCAGUGGCGAAGGCGACUACCUGGACUGAUACUGACACUGAGGUGCGAAAGCGUGGGGAGCAAACAGGAUUAGAAACCCUGGUAGU